UACGUAGGGUGCGAGCGUUAAUCGGAAUUACUGGGCGUAAAGCGUGCGCAGGCGGUUCUCCAAGUCCGUUGUGAAAGCCCCGGGCUCAACCUGGGACUGGCAUUGGAAACUGGCGACCUAGAGUGCGGUAGAGGGUAGUGGAAUUCCCGGUGUAGCAGUGAAAUGCGUAGAGAUCGGGAGGAACAUCUGUGGCGAAGGCGACUGCCUGGACCAGCACUGACACUGAGGCACGAAAGCGUGGGGAGCAAACAGG
rnacentral:rRNA from 1 species